AAAGCAAAACCAGCGUCACUCAGACCCACCUGGAAGAUGCAGGGGCUGCCAUAGCUGCUGCCGAAGCUGCCGUGCAACAACUCCGCAUUCAACCAACAGCACAUAAAAGCGGUCAGUCUAAUCAUGCCAGGAAGCAGCACAGACACAGCAUAGCAGGAGUCCUCCCCAUUCAAAGAACUCAGUCUGAUAAUCUGCCUCCACCAGCCAAUGGCAACCAAGACCAAAGCCAGCUAGCCCUCAGGAAGGUGAUGUCUGAUGGACCAGUCAAGCCAGAAGGAGCAAAGCCUCCCAAUCACCGGCCUGCAGAAAGCUCUGUGUCCACCGGCUCCUCGGGCAGCAGCUUUGGCAGUGGGUAUAGCGUGGACAGUGAAGGAAGCAGCAGCACUGCAGGGGAGACUAAUCUAUUUCCUAUUCCGAGGAUAGGGAAGAUGGGACAGAAUGGACAAGAGCCUGUAAAACAGCCAGGAGUAGGAGUA
rnacentral:sRNA from 1 species